GCACAGAUACACACCACCAAAUUGCCUUUUUUUUAUGACACAGUAUUGCUGCAGGGUCAUUUACAUAUAGGUAAAAAUGCAAAAUUCCUGCUCUGAAGUGUUAACAAUGUUGGUUACUUUUACAUCAAAAGUCUGAUGGGAGUACAAAGAAGUCAGGAAAUGUGGAUAAGGCUGAAAUUACAUUCAUAAAAGAUCAUGCAGUGGUUGGGAAUCACAGCCCAUGCAUGGACAAGCCUGUAUUGAGACUGCUGUAAUCCCUGGGCAGAGCAGGGGGGAGCGAAGAAGAGGUGAAGGUGGCACUGACUGCAAUUGCAAGGCAAUUCUGGAAGAGUCACCAGAGGAGGAAGAGGCAUCAGGGGACACAAAGCUGCUGGGGUAAUGAGCUAAAGCCUUCUGAAGUGCUCCCAGAUGGCAGCUCCCACCUCUGGCCGCUCUGGAUUCCUGUUUGCCACCCUUCUUCUCAUUGCUACCUGGCCUCAGGAGAGAAGCCUUCCCAACUGGUGAUCAGCCUGGUGCAACCACAGUCCCUCUUAGCUGCUGAUUUUUCUUUGGUCAUUUCUGACAAUUUCUGGAGUGAGUUUGCUAGUAAGUAAACCCGGCACCUGCAUCCUUCUCAGACUCAUUCUCUGUGUCGCCACUAGUGAGUCACAGGUUCAUUUGCUUUUUCUCU
rnacentral:lncRNA from 14 species